rnacentral:rRNA from 1 species
CAUGUCCUUUUGAUUAUGAUUUAAGGUCUAAUCUGCUCAAUGAAAGUUUAAAUUGCCGCAGUAUUUUGACUGUGCAAAGGUAGCAUAAUAAUUAGUUUCUUAAUUAGAAGCUGGAAUGAAUGAUUGGACGAGAAAAUUUCUGUCUCUAUUUAAUUGUUUAUUGAAUUUUAUUUUUAAGUUAAAAAGCUUAAAUGUUUGUAAAAGACGAGAAGACCCUAUAGAGUUUGAUAUUUCAAUUUUAUUUGAUUAUAGAAUUUCUUUUGAGUUUGGAAUAUUUAAUUGGGGUGAUUUAAAGAUUUAAAUAAUUCUUUAAUUUUUUAAUUGAUGAUAGUUAAAUUUUAAACCUAUAGUUUUAAGUUUAAUAUAAAUUACCUUAGGGAUAACAGCGUAAUUUUUCUUUAAAGCUCUUAUUAAAAGAAGAUUUUGCGACCUCGAUGUUGGAUUAAAAUUAAUUUUUGGUGCAGUAACUUAAAAAUUGGGUCUGUUCGACCUUUAAAAUUUUACAUGAUCUGAGUUUAAACCGGUGUAAGCCAGGUUGGAUUCUAUCUUUAAAAAUUUUUUAUAUUUUAGUACGAAAGGACCAAAUAUAGAUUAAAUUA